AUUGAACGCUGGCGGCAUGCCUUACACAUGCAAGUCGAACGGCAGCGCGGACUUCGGUCUGGCGGCGAGUGGCGAACGGGUGAGUAGUACAUCGGAACGUACCCUGUUGUGGGGGAUAACUAGUCGAAAGAUUAGCUAAUACCGCACACGACCUGAGGGUGAAAGUGGGGGACCGCAAGGCCUCACGCAGCAGGAGCGGCCGAUGUCUGAUUAGCUAGUUGGUGGGGUAAAGGCCCACCAAGGCGACGAUCAGUAGCUGGUCUGAGAGGACGAUCAGCCACACUGGGACUGAGACACGGCCCAGACUCCUACGGGAGGCAGCAGUGGGGAAUUUUGGACAAUGGGGGCAACCCUGAUCCAGCAAUGCCGCGUGUGUGAAGAAGGCCUUCGGGUUGUAAAGCACUUUUGUCCGGAAAGAAAUCGCGCUGGUUAAUACCUGGCGUGGAUGACGGUACCGGAAGAAUAAGCACCGGCUAACUACGUGCCAGCCGCCGCGGUAAAAC
rnacentral:rRNA from 1 species